rnacentral:rRNA from 1 species
UACGGAGGGUGCAAACGUUGCUCGGAAUCAUUGGGCGUAAAGCGCACGUAGGCGGUCUGUUAAGUCGGAUGUGAAAGCCCCGGGCUCAACCCGGGGAAGUGCAUACGAAACUGGCGGACUUGAAUAUGGAAGAGGGUCGCGGAAUUCCCGGUGUAGAGGUGAAAUUCGUAGAUAUCGGGAGGGACACCAGUGGCGAAGGCGGCGACCUGGGCCAAUAUUGACGCUAAUGUGCGAAAGCGUGGGGAGCAAACAGGAUUGA